rnacentral:rRNA from 1 species
UACAGAGGGUGCAAGCGUUAAUCGGAAUUACUGGGCGUAAAGCGCGCGUAGGUGGUUUGUUAAGUUGAAUGUGAAAUCCCCGGGCUCAACCUGGGAAUGGCAAUGGAUACUGGACAGCUAGAGUGCGGUAGAGGGUAGUGGAAUUCCCGGUGUAGCAGUGAAAUGCGUAGAGAUCGGGAGGAACACCAGUGGCGAAGGCGGCUACCUGGACCAGCACUGACACUGAAGCACGAAAGCGUGGGGAGCAAACAGG